AGACUCGCGAUCGAUAAAAAGUCGUCGUCGUCACGAAGGAAAGGGAGUAUUACGAGAAUGAUGAGAGGACAGAGAGAAAGAUGUCGUCGUACGGUUCUCUAGUAGAUUACCAGUUACUUUGUUCAAAAUGAUCUUUUUUUCUCCUUCUCGAUUUUUUUUUUUCGUUUCUUUUUCCCUAUUUUUUUUUCUUUUCUUUUUCUUCUUAAUUUUUCCCUUCGUACUUGUCUCGCGAGACAAUGGAAACGUCUUUGAGUUAGGGCGAUAAAAAAAAAAAAAAAAAAAAAAAAUAGGAAUAUUAGGCAGGAAAAUUAGACGUUCAGAAUAAUCGUAAUCGAGAAUUGGAAUUUAUUUUUCCUCGAUAUCGCAAUUUCAUUGAGCUGCGGUUCGACUAUAUUACUCAACAUUACGAACACGCAUAUAGAUUCGAAUCUCUACGUAUCCAUUUUCCCUAUUCGACUUUGUUUUAUAACUUUGUGUUGAUAAGAACGAAAUCCAUAAAACAAAAUAGUGCUUGGGAAAAUGAAGAAAAAAAAAAAAGAAAAAAUAUAUCAUUUUACGAGGUUCGUAAAACGAAAGUUCAACUUAGAUUCAAACGGGGAGAGUCAUUAGCGGUGGGGCACGUUGCACGUGACAUUGUGCAGCUGAGAGCUGAGGCCAAGCAAUGCUAGAAGUUUAGCAAUCGUUUGCCGUUGCACGUGGAGUGUAUAUGAAUCAAAACAAGUUAUUCCGGUAUAACUUGUCCGCCUCACAAAGAGCUGCCUUCGUUAAUAUUGUGUAUUAAAUAGUGCCACCGUGGUGAGGGCAGCUUUAACGUUUAAAUUAAUUUGAUACUUGCAAAUCCACUUAAAAGCGCUUACGAAAUGGAAUAUUUUAAUUACGUAUGGAAGGGGAUCGGUUACAAAGUUAAAAAAAGAAAAAAAGAAAAAAAAAAGAAAAUAAAAUAAAAUAUAAAAAGAAAAAGAAAAGAAAAGAAAAGAGAAAGAAAACAAAAAAGAAGGCAAAAUACGAAUUCGCUUGAAUUCACGAAGUAAUAUAUUUUUUAUAAAACCAUUUUAUUAAACCUCAUUCCUUUUACUUUCGUUUUCAACGUGAAUAUUUCAAUGUUUCAUUAAUGGAUAUCAAUAUUAUCCGAUAUUUAUACGAUAAGUGAAAUUAAUCGUUCCAAUUUCGAUCAAACCAGGAACGGAAUACGAUAAGAAUGAUAUAAUCGUCGAUGCAUCGUAAAUCGAUACGAUCGUUUAAGAAAAUACAAUCGUGUACACGGUAUCGGUGAUCGUGAACUGCAUGCAUUAACUGGGUCGAUGGAUUGUUGCAACGUGAGGAAUAAGGAAAGUAAAAAAGAAUGAGAAGAAGAAACGGAGUCGCGUCACAAUGCAUGCAUAAUCCGACAUUACGCGCUUCGAGAACGUUACACUUCAAACACUUUGUUUUUCAAACACUUCCGCUUUUUUGUUUCUCUUUUCCUUUUCUUUGUCUUUUUUUCCCUCCUCUUUCUUUUUCUUUUCCUUCUUUAGUUCGAGACUCGAGGGUUACGUUAAAGAAAAGAAAAGAAAAAAGAAAAAACAGAACAAAAAAAAUAAAAAAAAAAAACAGAUAAAAGAAAAAAGUUUCGAUCAGUUCAUCGAAAUAAAAAAAAAAAAAAAAAAAGAAAGGAUGGAUUUUGACGUUAGACAAUAUAAAAGUGUCUGUCGUGAAUGAAAAGGAAAAUCUCGUGGGUAGUUGUGCAGUCCAUUAUCUGGCAAAACUCCGAGAGAGAGUAAGAGAGAGAGAGAGAGAGAGAGAGAGAGAGAGACAGAGCGUGAUCCCGCUUGAUGAUACAUCUCGAACUUAAAGUCGCUCGUGAGGGACGGUGGUAAGGCCAGUGUCGAGGAACAAUGAAGAGCUACACGGUCCUCCGCUUGUAUAAAACGACCGUAUGGCGGCUGAGAGACGGUGAUCCGGAAAUAACCGUGGCCAUAAACGCAAACCGGACGCGUAUAUACAACAUAUAUAAAAGACGUAAGGGAAAGACGUAGAGAGAACGAAACGAAGAAAAAGGAAGAAAGACGAAUGGUUAGCAACGGUUAAAAGCACGGCAGGUGACUGUUUCUCUUUUGCCAAGACUCGACAACUUCUCCGAUCCAAGUGGGCUUAAGCUUUACGACUUCUAAGCUCGAGUUUGUAUGAUACGUAUAUAUAUAUAUAUAUAUAUAUAUAUAUAUAUAUGUAUGUACGUAUGUGUGUAUGUAUAUAUGUACUUAUGUAAGUUUUAUUUCUCACGGAAUCCUACGGAACUACGAACGAAACACUCGGAAGCACUCGUGAUCGCUAAAAGAAUUUAAACGUUGGUAACUUCAUAAAGUAUAUAGCCUUUAAACGUGUCCACGUUUUAAAGAAGAACUUGAAACUAUCUAAUAAGGUUGGAUUUUAAUAAGAAAAAAGGAAAAAGAUGAAAGAAGCUGUUGAACGAUCUAUCGAUCUAUUCGAUUCUAAACGAACGUUUUUUCCUUUAUUGACAUCGAAAACAAGAAGCUGGUUGAUCGACGGUAAUGACUAUAUUUUAUCAAUCCGAGCAACCGUUGGUCUCUUCUUCGUUGACGAAUGGACGACGGUAAAUCACGAGAUGAUCUCACCCGAUGUGUUAAGCUAUCGCGAAGAGAGAGAGAGAGAGAGAGAGAUAAAGAGAAGUAAUAAAGAAACAUGGUAUCUCGUCAACAUCGAACAUAGUACAUUCGUUUUGAUCGACGAGACGAUAAUCAUCCGUUUAAGAGAUACAUUUACUUACUCCUUAAAGAGUGAUUAAAGAAAAAGAAAUAAAAAGGAGAGAAGAAAUCCACAUAUAGUCGAACUUACACGAGUAUUUUGUAAUCCAUUGGGAAGGAGGAAAAGGAAAUGAAGGUGGGUGGAGAUGGACAAAGGGAGGAAGGAGAACGAAGAGGAGUGAUAAAUGUUCUACGUUUGUAAGAUACGUUUGAAUAUAAAGGAAGAAAUCGACGACAAUGUUUUCUUCAAGGAUAGAAACGUAUAGAACUCAAUUAAACGAUUUAACGUAUCAUGAUCCUUUGAUCCAUCGGUCAUGACAUUUGAUACUUUGAACUUUAAUCCACGCUGGUAGAGUUUAGCGUAAUUUAUUUCAAACACGUUCAGCUGCAAACUCACACCGAGUCAAUGACGGUGAAGUCAUUGAAAUAGAUCUUUACGUAAUUGAUUAUAGAAAGGAUCUUGAAGAAGGGAACUUAUUUCGAAGGAACGUUCGUUAAGAAAGGUAUCGAGGCUCAGUGCCGAAGAUCGUGCCCUUUUCGAUCUUACCAGGCUAUAAAUCAGUUGGCGAUCUCGCCAUAGCAAGCAUUCCAUCGUUACGGACGACGUUGGAAGGUAGUGAGAGAGAGAGAGAGAGAGAGAGAGAGAGAGAGAGAGAGAAAGAGAGAGAGAGAGAGAGAGAGGGAGAGAAAGAUAGAAUGAAAAAGAGUAUGAAUGUAAGUAUAUAUGUAUGUACUUACGUAAAUUUAUAGCGAACAUAUAACAUACGUCCAUUAUAUAUUUCGUUUCAUACGUGAGCACGAUACGUACAUACAUAUAUACAUACAUAUAUAUAUACAUAUCGAUCGUAAAGAAGCAACGACAAAAAGCGGGCAAUCCAUAUAAGAACAGAAAUCGAUUUCAGACGUUCGAAUCUGGUCAACGUGCAGAUAUAUUCAGUUAUGUAUAGAUAUAUUCGAUUGCACUUAUGUAUAUAACUUUAUAUCGAUCUGAUCGUAAUUUGAUAUCUUAUGGAUGACAUGUUGUAUCAAUCGAAAUCUGCACGUUUAUUUAAUCGACAUAUUUGAACGUGAUUCUUUGAGUCUAGAGAGGCGAGAAAGGGUGAUAAAAAAGAA